AGUCAAAUUGUUUGUGAAUGCACCCAAUCGGGUGGAAAAUUCCAUCCAAGGAUGAAUACGGGUGAGAGAGUGAUAGCAAACAAGUAUCAUAAGAGAAAGAUGGCAAGGACUUUGAAAAGAGAGUCAAAGAGUGCUUUAAAUUGUCAUAAGGGAAGUGGUUGGUGGCCAACGAUGUGCCUCGGUUAAAUGUGGAACGAUGAGAAUUGGUUUGUUGAUCACCUUAGGGUGUGGACUAAUGCGGGUUAUGACGGUGGCCUUAGCUUGGGCUUUUGAUAUGCCUAUGCAAACAUUAUCAGUACAAUCAUAGAAUGUAGCACACACCAUCUUGACUUGCCUCAACACCAACAUGCUUCCAACGUCAGCCUAUGAGCAUCCUAUAUUACCCGUUUUGAAACACAAACCAAGGAGUCUAACAUAUGUAUGAGUCAAUGGGCUAGAAAACUCAUAAGAAGUAAGGAAGCUAAUUUGUAAGAUCCCUCAUAGGUGCACUAUAAAUUAACCUUGAUCUUUAAGAAGGGUUUGAGUGUAAGUAUGCCUAUCAGGACUCGAAAGAUGGUGAACUAUGCCUAAGCAAGGUAAACCUAGGGGAAACUCUCGUGAAGGCCCAUAGCAAUACUGACGUGCUAAUCAUUCGUCUGACUUGGGUAUAGGGUUGAAAGGCUAAUCGAACCAUCUAGUAACUUGUUCCCUUUGAAGCUUCCCUCAGGACAGCUAGAGCCUUUAGUGAGUUUUAUUGGGUAAAGCCAAUGAUUAGAGGCAUCAGGGGUGUAAUGCCCUUGACCUAUUCUCAAACUUUAAAUAGGUAGGAUGGCAUGGCUACUUUGUUGAGCCAGCUAUGAAAUCUAGAGCUCCAAGAGGACCAUCUUUUGUAAAUGAAAUUGAUGAUGCAAGAUGAACAUAAGUCAGGUUAUAGUGCCCAAUUACAUGCUAACCUAGAACCCACAAAGGGUAUUGGUCAAUUAAGAUAGCGGGACAAUGGUCAUGGAAGUUGAAAUAUGCUAAAGAGUAUUUAACAACUCACUUGCUAAAUCAACUGGUCUAAAAAAUGGAUGUCGCCUAAGAGUGUGACUUAUACCAAGCAAUCGAGGUAAGAGCUAGUUCCAAAUGAGUAAGAGGGCAUAACAGUCACCAUAAAACUUAAGGUGUGAACUUGAGCAGAGUGACCAUCGAUGUAGAUCUUAGUGAUAGUAGCAAAUAUUCAAAUGAGAACUUUGAAGGCCAAAGAAAGGAUAGGCUCUAUGUGAACAACACUUGCACAUGGGUUAGUUGAUCCUAAGAGAUGGGGGAAGCUUAUUUGAUGUGCAUCUAGCAUGAGCUUCAAAAAAAAAUUGGGUUAAAAUUCUUGAAUCAGGACAUGACAACUAAUGGUAAUGUUAGGGAGUCCAGAGACGUUGGCAAGGGCCUCAAGAAGAGUUAUCUUUUCUAUUUAAUUAGCUUGCCUACCUUGGAAAUGGCUUAGAUGAAGGUAAAGUCCAGUAGUCAGAAAAGCAUCAUAUGUCGUGUGGUGUUUGGUGCACCCUAAGUAGCCCUUGAAAAUUUAGAGGACUGAGUGCUUUCCAUGCCUAGUCAUGCUCAUAACUGCAUGAGGUCUCCAAGUUGAAUAGCCUUUAGUCAAUGGAAUAAUGUAGGUAAGGGAAGUCAGCAAAAUGGAACUGUGACCUCAAGAAAAGGAUUGGCUUUAAGGGUUAGGCAUGGGGGUCCUAGUCCUAAACCCAUCAGCUACCAAUGCACUACUCGUCUAUUCCCACAACAAGAGUGGGUCAUCAUAUGCUGACUGAGGGAUAGACUAAGAACAGUUCCUUCAGGGGCCUUCCCUAAGUGACAAACAUUUGACUAAAGAAACAAUAUGAACAAGGGGAAUCUGACUAUUUAAUUAAAACAAGCAUUGUGAUGGUUCCAGUGGAUGCUCACAUAAUGUGAUUUCUGCCCAAUGCUCUGAAUGUCAAAGUGAAGAAAUUCAAUCAAGCACGGGUAAAUGACAGGAGUAACUAUGACUCUCUUAAGGUAAUUUAAUGCCUAUUCAUCUAAUUAGUGACGUACAUGAAUGGAUUAAUGAGAUUCUCAUUGUCCCUAUCUAUUAUCCAGUGAAACCAUAGCCAAAAGAAUGGGCUUAGCAAAAUCAGUAGGGAAAAAGACCUUGUUGAGCUUAACUAUAGUUUGACAUUGUGGAAUGAGUGGGAGCCCGAGGGUAAAAUUGAAAUACCACUACUUUUAACAUUAUUUUACUUAUUUCAUGAAUUAGAGGAAAGCACGAGCCUUUUUUUUUUAGACCUAAGGUCAACCUUGGUCAGUCAAUCCAGGUAGAAAACAUUACUAGGUGAGAAGUUUGGCUAAGGUAGCACAUCAGUUAAAAGAUAAUGCAAGUGUCCUAAGAUGAGCUCAAUGAGAAUAGAAAUCUCAUGUGGAACAAAAGGGAUAAAGCUUGCUUGAUUCUAAUUUAUAGUACAAAUACAAACCAUGAGAGCGUGGCCUAUCGAUCUUUUAGACCUUUGAAAUUUGAAAUUAGAGGUGCCAGAAAAGUUACCACAAUAAUAACUAGAUUGUGGUAGCCAAGCAUUCAAAGCGACAUUGCUCUUUGAUCCUUCAAUGUUGGCUUUUCCAUAUCAUUAUGAAGUAGAGUUCACAAAGUGUUAGAUUUUUUCCCACCAAUAGGGAAUGUGAGUUAGGUUUAAACCAUCAUGAAACAAGUUAGUUUUACCUUACUGAUGGCAGCGCUGUAAUAGUAAUUCAACCUAGUACGAGAGGAAUCAUUAAUUCACAUAACUAGUCAUUGCACUUGGUUGAAAAGCCUAUGGGUAAUGCACACCUCUAAGUUAGAAUCCAAGCUAGAAACAAUGGAAGUACCCACCACCCAAUUGUCAACCCAUAGUAGAGGCACAUAGGCCCUAAGGGCAUAUGUCAUAGGUGCAGCCCUCGUGGUAGACAAGCCAUGUAGGCCUUCUUGGAGCUCAAUUCCCAUUAAGUAAUAGGUAAAUUCCUUUGUA
rnacentral:rRNA from 1 species